rnacentral:rRNA from 1 species
CCUACGGGACGCAGCAGUGAGGAAUAUUGGUCAAUGGGCGCGAGCCUGAACCAGCCAAGUAGCGUGAAGGAUGACUGCCCUACGGGUUGUAAACUUCUUUUAUAAAGGAAUAAAGUGAGGCACGUGUGCCUUUUUGUAUGUAUUUUAUGAAUAAGGAUCGGCUAACUCCGUGCCAGCAGCCGAGGUAAUACGGAGGAUCCGAGCGUUAUCCGGAAUUAUUGGGUUUAAAGGGAGCGUAGAUGGGUUGUUAAGUCAGUUGUGAAAGUUUGCGGCUAAACCGUAAAAUUGCAAUUGAUACUGGCAGCCUUGAGUACAGUUGAAGUAGGCGGAAUUCGUGGUGUAGCGGUGAAAUGCUUAGAUAUCACGAAGAACUCCGAUUGCGAAGGCAGCUUACUAAACUGCCACUGACAUUGAUGCUCGAAAGUGUGGGUAUCAAACAGGAUUAGAUACCCGGGUAGUC